AAAGGAAUUGACGGGGACCCGCACAAGCGGUGGAGCAUGUGGUUUAAUUCGACGCAACGCGAAGAACCUUACCAGGGCUUGACAUCCCCCGCUAGCCUGGGAAACCAGGUGUUCCUGCCUUCGGGCAGGACGGGGAGACAGGUGGUGCAUGGUUGUCGUCAGCUCGUGUCGUGAGAUGUUGGGUUAAGUCCCGCAACGAGCGCAACCCCUACUUUCAGUUGCCAUCAUUAAGUUGGGCACUUUGAAGGAACUGCCGGUGACAAACCGGAGGAAGGUGGGGACGACGUCAAAUCAUCAUGCCCUUUAUGUCCUGGGCUACACACGUGCUACAAUGGCCGGUACAGAGGGAAGCGAAGCGGUGACGCGGAGCGAAUCCCAAAAAGCCGGUCUCAGUUCGGAUUGCAGUCUGCAACUCGACUGCAUGAAGUCGGAAUCGCUAGUAAUCGCGAGUCAGCAUAUCGCGGUGAAUACGUUCCCGGGUCUUGCACACACCGCCCGU
rnacentral:rRNA from 1 species